UCUGGUGCCAGCAGCCGCGGUAAUUCCAGCUCCAAUAGCGUAUAUUAACGUUGUUGCAGUUAAAAAGCUCGUAGUUGAAGUGAGGGAGUGUGUGUUCAUGAGAGCUAGUCUCGAGUGUUCACAACCUCCCCCCUCCAAUCGGUGUAGUGGGGUAUUCAGUUAUUUCACUACUCCUUUGGUCGUUUACUGUGAGAAAAUUAGAGUGUUCAAAGCGGGCGUUUGUUUGAAUAGAUUAGCAUGGAAUAAUGAUUGAAGGCUUUCGUGUUCGAUUUGAUUGGUUUGUUCAUGGAAGCAAGGUUAAAAGGAACAGUUGGGGGUAUUCAUAUUCACUAGUUAGAGGUGAAAUUCUCGGAUUUAUGGAAGAUGAACAGGUGCGAAAGCAUUUACCAAGGAUGUUUUCAUUAAUCAAGAACGAAAGCUAGGGGAUCGAAGAGGAUUAGAUACCCUCGUAGUCUUAGCUAUAAACGAUACCGACUAGGGGUUAGUAGAGGUCAAUGUGUCUCUAUUAGUACCUUAUGAGAAAUCAAAGUCUUUGGGUUCCGGGGGGAGUAUGGUCGCAAGGCUGAAACUUAAAGGAAUUGACGGAAGGGCACCACCAGGAGUGGAGCCUGCGGCUUAAUUUGACUCAACACGGGGAAACUUACCAGGUCCAGACAUAGGAAGGAUUGACAGAUUGAUAGCUCUUUCUUGAUUCUGUGGGUGGUGGUGCAUGGCCGUUCUUAGUUGGUGGAGUGAUUUGUCUGGCUAAUUCCGAUAACGAACGAGACCUCCGCCUUUAACUAGUGUUGGCUAUUGUGAUAGCUGAUACUUCUUGGAGGGACACUAUACGUAAAGUGUAGGGAAGCUGGAGGCAAUAACAGGUCUGUGAUGCCCUUAGAUGUUCUGGGCUGCACGCGCGCGACACUGAUCUAUUCAACGAGUGGCUGUGUCGAUAGACUUGGCAAAUCUUGUGAAAGUAGAUCGUGAUGGGGAUUGAUGCUUGUAAUUGUUCAUCAUGAACGAGGAAUUCCUAGUAAACGCAAGUCAUCAACUUGCAUUGAUUACGUCCCUGCCCUUUGUACACACCGCCCGUCGCACCUACCGAUUGAAUGGUCCGGUGAACACUUUGGAUUUUAGGCGAAUGAACUGUAAAAGGGGAGUUCGUUUGGGAGAAGUCGUGUAAAUCUUAUCAU
rnacentral:rRNA from 1 species